UACAGAGACUGCAAGCGUUAUUCGGAUUCACUGGGCGUAAAGCGUGCGCAGGCGGCUUCGCAAGUCAGACGUGAAAUCCCCGGGCUUAACCUGGGAAUGGCGUUUGAAACUACGGAGCUGGAGUAUGGCAGAGGGGGGUGGAAUUCCACGUGUAGCGGUGAAAUGCGUAGAUAUGUGGAGGAACACCGGUGGCGAAGGCAGCCCCCUGGGCCAAUACUGACGCUCAUGCACGAAAGCGUGGGGAGCAAACAGG
rnacentral:rRNA from 1 species